GGAGAGAUGGCCGAGCUGGUCGAAGGCGCUUGACUCGAAAUCAAGUGUGGCGAAAGUCACCGGGGGUUCGAAUCCCUCUCUCUCCGCCA
rnacentral:tRNA from 1 species